rnacentral:misc_RNA from 1 species
AUUUUAAUUGUGCUAUCCUUGCUUCUUGAUUGAUCUAGAAAUAUGCAUACUCUGCAUCUUUUUGUUAAACAUUUCUUUGGAACUUUGAAGUUGCCACUUUCUCUGUGGAUCCUUCCUGGAGCAAAAUGAUGGGUGAGCUAGGGAUAAUUGGUUCAUGUAAGGCAAUGUAUGGUGUGGGUCAUGGAUCAUAACUUAAUAAGCCAAAAGAAAUGGGAAGUGAAAAAAAAGGACAAAAAUGAUUGCCUGACUGAGAAAGUUUUGGAAGUAAGCCCAGAGUAUCUAUGGUUUCAAGAAUGAAAAUUUGUGUAAAUUCUUCAAAAUCAAUAAUGGGAAACAUUUGUUUUUGAAGUCAAUAAUGGGAAUUCUUUUCCUUUGAUUCAAGUGGAAGGCUUCUUAUUUCAAACAUAAG